GAAACUUUGCCUUCAGGAGGGGUGAACGGAGAAUGAUAUGUACAAAAUCUCUCUGCUGGAAAUUGCGCAAGAGGUAUUUUGGCUGGGGGCAGGGGUCUGUGUCUCUUCGCUCCUUUACACAGCUGAAGCUUAAUUGGAAAAAAGCCUCAGAUAAGGGUGCACUGUGUGGAACUAGAGCAGGGUUAAUUCAUGCAGAAGAGCUUGUCUCGCAAGUGGGAGCGCUGCGCAGAGGGAAGAAACCUCCUAAAAUCCUCUCUAACUUUCCAGAUUCCCUGCAGCACUUUGUUGCAUGCUGUGCUGGUGGGAGCUUGUCAGCCCCCCGGGAGUGAAGCGGGGCGAAGCAGGGCAGGCUGCGUAGCAACUACAUUGCGAAGUGGUAACAAUUCCCAAGUGGGGCAGUAACAAAAUCAGUUUUUCUCCCCUUCAGCUUGGCAGCUCUCCAGGUGCCUGCUCUGGCACAAUGAAGUGUGUAGCUGGGGAGGGAGGGACUUUGGGUUGAUGUGGGGGGGUGAUACAAAGAGACAGAAGUUUAAUCAUUGAACCAAUCACACUGGAUGGAUUUAUUUCUGGACUCAAUUUCCCAGGAACUCCACUAUCUCACCCUGGGGGAAAUGCCUCAGCUGAAGUUUCUCUAGCUCCAGUUUCGUGAAUAAAGACCUGUCGCUUUGGAGUUACUCACAGCAGCUCUGUCACUACUGACUCAUCCAUCCGCUUCAAGAAAAUGUUUGCCGUCCACUUGCUAGCUUUCCAUUUCACAAAGCUAAAAGAGGAUCAAAUAAAAAAGGUUGACAGGUACCUGUAUCACAUGCGCCUUUCCGAUGAUGUCUUGCUGGAUGUGAUGGCUCGCUUCCAGGCUGAGAUGGUGAAGGGCCUGGGGAGAGACACAAACCCCACAGCAACAGUAAAAAUGCUGCCAUCAUUUGUGCGCUCGCUUCCCGAUGGCUCAGAGAAGGGUGACUUCCUUGCUGUUGACCUGGGUGGCUCCCAGUUUCGUGCCCACCAGGUGAAGGUGUUUGAUGACGGGAAGCAGAGCAGCCAGCUGGAGAGCAAGUUUUACCCCACACCCAAGGAGGUCAUACAGGGUAACGGAGCUGAGCUCUUUGAUUACGUUGCUGACUGUCUGUUAGACUUCAUGGAGACCAAAAACCUGAAGCAUAAGAAGUUACCUCUUGGCUUUACAUUUUCUUUUCCUUGCAAACAGAACAAAUUGGAAGAGGGGGUUCUUCUUGCCUGGACGAAACACUUCAAGGUCCGAGGAGUUCAGGACACAGAUGUGGUCAGCUCUCUGCGCAAGGCUCUCCAGAAGCAUAAGGACAUAGAUGUUAAUGUUUUGGCACUGGUCAAUGACACCGUGGGAACCAUGAUGACUUGUGGAUAUGAUGACCAGCGCUGUGAAGUUGGACUUAUAAUUGGGACUGGCACCAACGCAUGCUACAUGGAGGAAAUGAGGCACAUCGAUCUGGUGGAAGGUGAUGAAGGGAGGAUGUGCAUUAACACAGAGUGGGGUGCCUUUGGAGAUGACGGUGCUUUGGAUGACCUCCGCACCGAGUUUGAUCGGGAGCUUGAUCUGGGAUCUCUCAAUCCUGGAAAACAAUUGUUUGAGAAGAUGAUCAGCAGCCUGUAUUUGGGGGAACUUGUUAGGCUCAUUCUGCUAAAAAUGACAAAGGAAGGUCUACUCUUCAAUGGGAAAGUGUCAACAGCUCUGCUUACCAAGGGCAAGAUUGAAAUGAAACAUGUGUCUGCAAUGGAAAAAUAUAAGGAAGGUCUGAGCAACACAAAAGAGAUCCUUACAGAGCUGAACCUGUUUCCCUCUGAAGAGGACUGCAUUGCUGUUCAGCAUGUCUGCACCAUUGUUUCCUUCCGCUCAGCCAAUCUCUGUGCUGCUGCCUUAGCAGCCAUACUGACCCGACUGAGAGAGAAUAAAAAACUGUUAAGGAUGCGAACCACUGUUGGAAUUGAUGGGGGACUCUAUAAAACCCAUCCCCAAUAUGCCAAACGUCUGCACAAGGUGGUGAGAAGGCUGGUCCCAAAUUGCGAUGUUCGGUUCCUCCUGUCUGUGAGCGGCAGUGGGAAGGGAGCUGCCAUGGUCACAGCAGUGGCAUACAGGCUGGCUGCUCAGCGCAAGCAAAUCGAUGCUGCUCUCGCACCAUUUCUGCUGUCCCUUGAGACCCUCAGAGAAGUUAAGAACAAAAUGAGGACUGAGCUGGAAUACGGGCUAAAGCGAGAGACGCAAGCCAGUGCCACAGUGAAGAUGUUACCCACAUAUGUCUGUGGGACACCAGAUGGAACAGAGAAAGGAAAGUUCCUUGCCCUUGACCUUGGUGGGACAAAUUUCAGGGUUCUGCUGGUCAAAAUCAGAAGCGGGAGAAGAAGAUCAGUGCAAAUGUAUAACAAAAUCUUUGCCAUUCCUCUGGAGAUCAUGCAAGGGACGGGGGAAGAGCUCUUUGACCAUAUUGUCCAGUGCAUAGCAGACUUUCUGGAGUAUAUGGGGAUUAAAGGUGCUCGACUGCCUCUGGGCUUCACCUUCUCCUUCCCAUGCAGGCAAGCCAGCAUUGACAAGGGUACACUUGUGGGAUGGACAAAAGGUUUCAAGGCAACAGACUGUGAGGGGGAAGAUGUUGUUGAUAUGCUGAGAGAGGCCAUCAGGAGAAGAAAUGAGUUUGACUUGGAUAUUGUAGCAGUGGUGAAUGACACUGUUGGGACAAUGAUGACAUGUGGAUAUGAGGAUCCAAAUUGUGAGAUUGGCCUUAUUGCAGGAACGGGUAGCAAUGUGUGCUACAUGGAGGACAUGAAAAACAUAGAAAUAGUGGAAGGGAAUGAAGGAAAAAUGUGCAUUAAUACAGAAUGGGGAGGAUUUGGUGACAAUGGCUGCAUUGACAACAUCAGAACAAAAUAUGAUAAAGAAGUAGAUGAAGGCUCACUAAACCCAGGGAAACAGAGGUAUGAAAAAAUGACCAGUGGAAUGUACUUAGGUGAAAUAGUAAGGCAAAUUUUGAUCGACUUAACCAAACAAGGACUGCUGUUCAGAGGACAGAUUUCAGAAUCACUCAGGAAAAGAGGCAUAUUCGAAACAAAAUUCCUGUCUCAAAUUGAGAGCGACCGGCUCGCCCUCCUCCAAGUCCGGCGAAUUCUGCAGCAGCUUGGCCUGGACAGCACAUGCGAAGACAGCAUCAUUGUGAAAGAGGUGUGUGGAGCUGUUUCAAAAAGAGCCGCCCAGCUCUGUGGGGCAGGACUGGCAGCUAUUGUAGAGAAGAAGAGAGAAAACCAAGGUGUGGAGCACUUGCAAAUCACCGUUGGAGUAGAUGGGACUUUGUACAAGCUCCAUCCACAUUUUUCUAGGGUCCUGCGGGAAACAGUGAAGGAACUGGCACCUCAGUGUGAUGUGACUUUCAUGCUUUCUGAAGAUGGAAGUGGGAAGGGAGCUGCCCUCAUUACUGCAGUAGCAAAAAGAUUGCAUAAUGUUGGACAGAAGUAAAAAUGAGAGGUCAAGUCAUUUCAGCACUGCCAGGCGUGUGCACUAGAGAUUUGCUGAGCAGUGAUUCGAGAUAGCUUUGCCAGACACCAGUACACAGAAUCCACAGAGCUACAGAAACCAAAGGUUGCUAUGUAGUGGGGCAGAGUUAUUUGGAACAGAUGUGUUUUCCUGGUGAUGAACAGGCUAAAUUUGGAGAGGCUGGGUAUAAAAGAAAAAAACAUCAGGUCUUGGGGCUAUGUGGGGCCUAGAAAUAGCCUAGAAUAGCUCUUCUGCAUUGGCUGUUUCUCCCCUCAGCACUCUGAAAUCUUGUACUAUCUGUGUAGUUUUGGGUCCUUUUGGGGGAGUGGAUUGUGCUAAUCUGCAAAAGUGCAUCUGUGGAUGAAGUGUGUCCCUGUGUAUCUGGAAUGAGGUGAUGUGGACUUGCCCCAGGAUGGCCACGUGAGUAUGGCGCAGAGUUAUCUUUUGCACUUUUAUUCUAAAGGCUGUUCUGCACAGUUGGAAUGCAAAUGAGUAACAAAAUAAGGUAAACCCCUUGCAUGGAUCCCUGCUUUAAAUUUAGAAAGAAAUCCUAUAUUGUUUUGAUUUUUCUUUUUAGUCUUUUUUGGAAAUUAAAUAUUCGCACAGUCAGUUUACAUCUCAACUGCAGUUAUUCCUUUUCUGCAGUAGAUUAGGCCCACACGAUGUUUUCUUCCAUCUGCAGUUUUUUUUCCAGGGAGUCUGUGGGUGUCAUGGAAUCCGAUCACAUGAACCUGAAACUGCUCGCAAAGUGCUUGGCGACCUACGGCUCUUGUUGAGGUCCCUAAGGCCCAGGGCACGCAUGCUCCUGCCUUUCUGCAGGCUGCUGGCUUGUUCUGAGGCUAGGCAGCUCCCACAUGGCUCUGAUACACAUCUGCUGAGCGGGGAGAUGGCAUCCAAGCUGGGAAGGCUGCUGCUUUCUGAAAGGGAAUGAGCAAAGAUUUGCUGGGUAGCCCUGGAAAAGGGAAGGAUAGGCUAGUGCGGGAUUUUACCAGGGGUACAAACUUCACUUGUAGUUUCCCAGGGAUCCCAUAAACACACUGAUGCUUUGGCUGACUCUAAACCAGACCAUUCUCCAUCUGGGUAAUGAUGCAGCAUCACGUUCCUGAUUGUGUCGACAUGUGGAAACUCAAGGACUGUUGCAAACUUGCAGUCUCCCUUGUAUAGGUUUUAAGCCACUGAACCAAAACCUUUCUCUGCACAUCGUAUGUGGUGAUUCAGUUUAAAGCCCUAGCUUAAAAUAAAAGUAGAGGCCUUCC